rnacentral:rRNA from 1 species
AUUGAACGCUGGCGGCAGGCUUAACACAUGCAAGUCGAGCGGUAACAGGAGAAGCUUGCUUCUCGCUGACGAGCGGCGGACGGGUGAGUAAUACUUAGGAAUCUGCCCAGUAGUGGGGGAUAGCUCGGGGAAACUCGAAUUAAUACCGCAUACACCCUACGGGGAAAAGGGGGCACUUGUGCUCUCGCUAUUGGAUGAGCCUAAGUCGGAUUAGCUAGUUGGUGGGGUAAAGGCCUACCAAGGCGACGAUCUGUAGCUGGUCUGAGAGGAUGAUCAGCCACACCGGGACUGAGACACGGCCCGGACUCCUACGGGAGGCAGCAGUGGGGAAUAUUGGACAAUGGGGGCAACCCUGAUCCAGCCAUGCCGCGUGUGUGAAGAAGGCCUUUUGGUUGUAAAGCACUUUAAGCAGUGAAGAAGACUCUAUGGUUAAUACCCAUAGACGAUGACAUUAGCUGCAGAAUAAGCACCGGCUAACUCUGUGCCAGCAGCCGCGGUAAUACAGAGGGUGCAAGCGUUAAUCGGAAUUACUGGGCGUAAAGCGAGCGUAGGUGGCUUGAUAAGUCAGAUGUGAAAUCCCCGGGCUUAACCUGGGAACUGCAUCUGAUACUGUUAGGCUAGAGUAGGUGAGAGGGAGGUAGAAUUUCAGGUGUAGCGGUGAAAUGCGUAGAGAUCUGAAGGAAUACCGAUGGCGAAGGCAGCCUCCUGGCAUCAUACUGACACUGAGGUUCGAAAGCGUGGGUAGCAAACAGGAUUAGAUACCCUGGUAGUCCACGCCGUAAACGAUGUCUACUAGUCGUUGGGGAACUUGAUUCCUUAGUGACGCAGCUAACGCAAUAAGUAGACCGCCUGGGGAGUACGGCCGCAAGGUUAAAACUCAAAUGAAUUGACGGGGGCCCGCACAAGCGGUGGAGCAUGUGGUUUAAUUCGAUGCAACGCGAAGAACCUUACCUGGUCUUGACAUAUCUAGAAUCCUGCAGAGAUGCGGGAGUGCCUUCGGGAAUUAGAAUACAGGUGCUGCAUGGCUGUCGUCAGCUCGUGUCGUGAGAUGUUGGGUUAAGUCCCGCAACGAGCGCAACCCUUUUCCUUAGUUACCAGCGGUUUGGCCGGGGACUCUAAGGAUACUGCCAGUGACAAACUGGAGGAAGGCGGGGACGACGUCAAGUCAUCAUGGCCCUUACGACCAGGGCUACACACGUGCUACAAUGGUAGGUACAGGGGGCAGCUACACAGCGAUGUGAUGCGAAUCUCAAAAAGCCUAUCGUAGUCCAGAUUGGAGUCUGCAACUCGACUCCAUGAAGUCGGAAUCGCUAGUAAUCGCGGAUCAGAAUGCCGCGAUGAAUACGUUCCCGGGCCU